CAGGACAUGGGAUGUGAUGGGAAGAAGGGGAACCUAACCCUGCUGGUCUGAAAGGGCACCCUGUUAGGGGUAGCCAUUUUCCCCCAUCAGGCACAGCCUACUAACUCCUUCAUGGCUCCUAAGGACCAUCUGCAGGGGCCAGGGCAGGCAGAGCCUCUGUCGGGAGAAGGGCCCUGCCUGCUCUUGGAGCGAGGCUCUGUAUUGGAGGACCUGAGGUCAGUACAAACAUGUGGAGUCUGGGAGAGCGGGCGUGUGUCUGAAACAGCUGGAAUGCCCAGAGGACGUGAUGGACGACAGACACAGGAAGAGCGGAGAGCAAGUGUGCAAAGACCAUGCAAUGGCAAAGAAUAAUACUGACAACUGGUGUUUGAACUGUGUCUCCACAUGUCAAGUAAUGAAGCUGGGCCCUCACCCACACCGCCGAGUAACACGCAGAGAGAAGAGCAAAUGGACUGAAGACCCAAGCACAAGGGAUCAAUGAGCCAGGCCUUUGCUGAAGGAACUGGUGGCGUCUGCGAGGCUGCUCCUGGGCCCUGCUUUAGGUAGGUACUGGGAAAAGACAAAAAGAAGGGAAAUCCAACCCAACCUCCACUGGCCAAAGUCUUAUCACUGGGUGGGGCCCUGGUGGCCCUGGGACAAGGGGCAGGACAAGAAAGAGGACAGACACAUGGCUGUCCAUGGAUCUGGACGAGGCUGGUCGGAGUCUCAGGUUCAUGUCAGGUGGCCAGCCUGGCUGAGCCACUUCCAGCUGUGGGACAGAGUUCUCCCUCCUGCACUCGCUCAGCCAGAGCGUGUCAGACAGUGGGGCUGACCUCCUUUACCUGGUUUUUCUACAUUCAUGGUACCACCAGCUUCU
rnacentral:sRNA from 1 species